GACGAACGCUGGCGGCGUGCUUAACACAUGCAAGUCGAACGAAGUGGCGAACGGGUGAGUAACGCGUAAUCAACCUGCCCUUCAGAGGGGGACAACAGUUGGAAACGACUGCUAAUACCGCAUACUGAAGGAGGGGAUUGCGUCUGCUUCGCUAGUUGGAGGGGUACCGGCCAACCAAGGCGAUGAUAAGUAGCCGGUCUAAGAGGAGGAACGGCCACAUUGGGACUGAGACACGGCCCAGACUCCUACGGGAGGCAGCAGGGGGAAAUCUUCCGAAAGGUACGAAAGGCUGACGGAGCAACGCCGCUGGAGUGAGGACGGCCUUCGGGUUGUAAAGCUCUGUUAAUCGGGACGCGGUACCGGAAUAGAAAGCCACGGCUAACUACGUGCCAGCAGCCGCGGUAAUAC
rnacentral:rRNA from 1 species